GGGGGCGUACUUAAAUGGGAAAGCCUGGUCUCCAAAACCAGGGAUGCGGGUUCGACGCCCGCCGCCUCCACCA
rnacentral:tRNA from 1 species